rnacentral:tRNA from 1 species
GGAGGGGUGGCAGAGAUGGCCGAAUGCGCCGGUCUUGAAAACCGGAGGGUGAAAGCCCCGCGGGUUCGAAUCCCGCCCCCUCCG